GCCCGGCUAGCUCAAUCGGUAGAGCGUGAGACUCUUACUCAGAGUUCAUCUCAAGGUUGCGGGUUCGACCCCCGCGUUGGGCU